rnacentral:rRNA from 1 species
UGCCAGCCGCCGCGGUAAUACGGAGGGUGCAAGCGUUACUCGGAAUCAUUGGGCGUAAAGGGUGUGCAGGCUGGAAAGUGUGUCUGAUGUGAAAGCCCGGGGCUUAACCCCGGAAGUGCAUUGGAAACUGCUUUUCUUGAAUCUCGGAGAGGGUAGUGGAAUUCCUGGUGUAGAGGUGAAAUUCGUAGAUAUCAGGAGGAACACCGGUGGCGAAGGCGACUGCCUGGACGAUGAUUGACGCUGAGACACGAAAGCGUGGGUAGCAAACAGGAUUAGAUA